GGACCUUGAAGGGGCAGUGAUGGUGGGAGCCAUCCAAGGUGUCACAGGGCUGGGCUUUUCAUUUAACAAUUUGUUCUGAUGGAUGUGUAUAGAAUAGCUUGGAAGAGUGGUCGAGACAUGAUACAAGAAGACCAUGAAGGAAGCCAGGAUGGAGGGGUGCACUCAAGCCCUGUUUCUUCUCCUUCUGUGAGUGGAUCGCGGAGGCCAGUGAGCUGCCUGUCAUCCCAAAGCUCAGCUCUGAGCCAGAGUGGUGGUGGCUCCACCUCUGCCGCCGGCAUAGAAGCCAGGAGCAGGGCUCUCAGAAGGCGGUGGUGCCCAGCUGGGAUCAUAUUGUUGGCCCUGAUCUCUCUGCUCAGCUGCCUGCUACCCGCCAGUGAGGCCAAGGUCUACGGUCGCUGUGAACUGGCCAGAGUGCUACAUGACUUCGGGCUGGACGGAUACCGGGGAUACAGCCUGGCUGACUGCCUGUGCUCUGCCCUAUGCAGGGGUCUGCCUUGCUUAUUUCACAAGCGGUUUCAACACAGCUGCUGUGGACCACGAGGCUGAUGGGAGCACCAACAAUGGGAUCUUCCAGAUCAACAGCCGGAGGUGGUGCAGAAACCUCACCCCGAACGUCCCCAACGUGUGCCAGAUGUACUGCUCAGAUUUGUUGAAUCCUAAUCUCAAGGAUACCGUUAUCUGUGCCAUGAAGAUCACCCAAGAGCCUCAGGGUCUGGGUUACUGGGAGGCCUGGAGGCAUCACUGCCAGGGAAAAGACCUCACUGAAUGGGUGGAUGGCUGUGACUUCUAGGAUAGACGGAACCAUGCACAGCAGGCUGGGAAAUGUGGUUUGGUUCCUGACCUAGGCUUGGGAAGACAAGCCAGCGAAUAAAGGAUGGUUGAACAUGAA
rnacentral:sRNA from 1 species